rnacentral:rRNA from 1 species
GGAUCAAUGUUUCGGUCAUGCCGUUGGUGUGUACUGAUAUUAUUGGUUUUUCACCUUCUAAAGAACCAUAAUGCUAUUAAUUUGGUAUCACGGGGAAUUAGAACUGUUACCUUGAAAAAUUAGAGCGUUUAAAGCAGGCUCACGCUUGAAUACAUUAGCAUGAAAUAAUGAAAUAGGACAUCCGAUUCUAUUAUGUUGGUUUCUAGAAUUGAUGUAAUGAUU